GCCUGGGUGGCUCAGUGGCUGAGCGUCCGACUUCGGCUCAGGUCAUGAUCUCAUGGCUUGUGAGUUCAAGCCUCGCAUCGGGCU
rnacentral:tRNA from 1 species